UACGGGGGGGGCAAGCGUUGUUCGGAAUUACUGGGCGUAAAGGGCUCGUAGGCGGCCAACUAAGUCGGAUGUGAAAUCCCCAGGCUUAACCUGGGAACUGCAUCCGAUACUGGAUGGCUUGAAUCCGGGAGAGGGAUGCAGAAUUCCAGGUGUAGCGGUGAAAUGCGUAGAUAUCUGGAGGAAUACCGGUGGCGAAGGCGGCAUCCUGGACCGGCAUUGACGCUGAGUGAGCGAAAGCCAGGGGAGCAAAGCGGG
rnacentral:rRNA from 1 species